rnacentral:lncRNA from 1 species
GGGCUUUGUUUCUUUCUCCUUUGCAGAAAGGCCACUGGGCUGAUAGUGUCCUCUUAGCAAGUAAGCUUGCCUGCAGCUGCUAAGACAGCAGUGCCCAUAAAAGUAAAAAUAAGCAUCACCAUGUCAUCCAGAAUGGCUUUCUUCAAUUCCUGAAUUGAACCAUGUCCAGUAGUUGAGUUCCUCUGCAUCGACCAGCUUGAUGUGGUUGCAGGGCAGAGGUGCCCCUACAUGCCCUAGGACACCAGAACAAGAGUGAAAGGCUUGGGCCUCUGGCAUCUUCCUCUGUACCCGGCUGCCCAGCACACGUCCCACCACCCCCAAGGAAGGCCCGGGAUGAUGAUACCUGGCACCCCAGAGCUGCUCGUAGGAAUCCCAGAACCGUUGGUGACGCGGGGGCUGCUCCAGUGACAAUCAUCCUCACAUGCCCACCAAGACUGGCCUGUGGGAAGAAAGAAGCUGCCAAUGAUGGUGACACACGAGAUGGUCUUCAUUUAUGGUCUGCUUUCAACAGCUGGACCCUGGGUGCUAGAAGAGAGCCACGUGCUGAGGAAGUCGCUUCUCUUUUGU